UGUUCAGGCUCAGAGCAGUGGAGGUGUGGGGGCCCAGUCUGACCCUCUGGGAGCGACCUGUUAGGAAGUCCAGGAUCCAACUGCAGGUGGCUGAUGGGAGCGCAAGGUUUGCUAGCUUGGACACCAGACAUUUUUCCACUGU